rnacentral:rRNA from 1 species
UGCGUGACCAACCUGCCCCAUGCUUCGGAAUAGCUCCUGGAAACGGGUGGUAAUGCCGGAUGCUCCGCACUGUCGCAUGAUGGUGUGGGAAAGGGUUUACCGGCAUGGGAUGGGGUCGCGUCCUAUCAGCUUGUUGGCGGGUGAUGGCCUGCCAAGGCUUCGACGGGUAGCCGGCCUGAGAGGGCGACCGGCCACAUUGGGACUGAGAUACGGCCCAGACUCCUACGGGAGGCAGCAGUGGGGAAUAUUGCACAAUGGGCGAAAGCCUGAUGCAGCGACGCCGCGUGCGGGAUGACGGCCUUCGGUUGUAAACCGCUUUUGAUUGGAGCAAGCGAGAGUGAGUGUACCUUUCGAAUAAGCACCGGCUAACUACGUGCCAGCAG